GGUUUGAAUUAUGAUUCUGAUGAGCACAAUGGAGAUGGUAAGAUUGAAGAGAGUGUGAAGAAUAACGGUGGAAGCAAUUCGAAUGCCAAUAGCACCGUCACUGGUGGAGGUGGUGGUGAUCAAAAGGGGAAGAAGAAGGGGAUGCCGGCAAAGAAUUUGAUGGCUGAGAGAAGGAGAAGGAAGAGGCUUAAUGAUAGACUCUACAUGCUUAGAUCUGUUGUCCCCAAGAUUAGCAAGGUAAACCGUAAACGGAUGGGUGCAUCACUUCUUCUUUUCUUCAUCUUCUUCUAAAAAAGUAUUUUGGGGGGAGGAGUGGGUUUUGAAUUCUGAAGUGCUUUUUCCUGUUUUAUCGCUUUCAUUUUUUAUAGGUAGAUUUUCCCUGGUUUUGCUUUAUGUUCUUUAUUAAUUCAUCUUUGGAUCUUGGGUUUUGGAUACAUGGUGGCCAUUGAUAGCAAAUCGAAUUUCAUUCCCUUUUGUAUUUGUCCUAUUACGAGAAUUUUGGGAAUUAAAAUCUUGAAUAUAAUGUUUUGAACUUGAUAAUUAAUAUUUUGGGUUUAACCCCUUCUGAAUAAAGGAUGGUGUUUGGAGUUCAGUCUGGUUAGGUGCUAUUGGGCCUUAAUAAUCCUUGAAUUAAAAAUAAUAAUACCCACUGAUGAUUUUUUUAAUGCUUACAGAUGGAUAGAGCUUCAAUACUUGGGGAUGCCAUUGAUUAUUUAAAGGAGCUUCUGCAAAGGAUCAAUGAUCUUCAUAAUGAAUUGGAGUCAACCCCACCUGGUCCUUUGUUGCCUCAAUCUACAAGUAUUCAUCCGGUGACUCCGACACCUCCCGCCAUACCUUCCCGCGUGAAGGAAGAACUAUGCCCUAGCUCGUUGUCAAGCCCUAAAAACCAACCUACAAGGGUAAAUACUGUCAUCUUGGUGCUAGAAGAGGCUUAUUUCACCAUUGGUGCUUGGUUUUGCACAAAUUUUAUGUUAGCUUGCUAAUGCUUCAUUAUUGCGCCGUGAAUGAUUUGUAUACUGCAAUAAUUGCAACCUAUCUUACAGUGAUAUUAAUAGUAUAGGCCUGUGAAACCUAAGGUUACACCAGUUGUUUUAUGUUUUUGAUAAUUCAUGUGCUGCAUGAUUUGUCUGGCCAACGUCACAAGGAAGUUAGAUUUGGAGAGUACUUGGUUUUCUAUUCUUGAAAAUUUGGCUAUAAAAAUGCAAAAUUCUGGUUAGUUUGUGUUUGAGUCUUUUCCGAACCCAAAUAACUUGUUUAAUCUUUAGGAUAGAUUAUUAUUGUGUACUCGGGCAAAUGGUGAAGCAUGUGCUUAUCCUUUUUUAUGCAUAGGCAUAUGCUCAUGUUGGGUGAUCUGUGAAGGGUCACAUCUUAGGAUUAUGCAUUUUAGGAUUAUGCAUUUUUAAUGAUCCAACAAUGUAAUCAUGAUGAAUACUCAACUCACUAGUAUGAUGGGACCACAUGGACUAGGGCGGCUAAAAUUUCAUCGAUGGUUUACUUUAUACUAUUGUAGCAUUGAUCCAUAUCGUGCAAAACCCAUUAGCCUGUAGCUAAUCUUGUGGUAUGCUAGUUAUUUGUGACUAAGUUGGAUCUCCAUUGCACUCCAUAAAAAUUUAUUUUUGCUGCUAAAGAUUGUUGGUGUAUUCACCAUUUUAAUUGGCAUUCUAUUGGAAUUUGAUGCUGUGCAUCCAAACAUGUUUCAUCAACUCUUCAAAGUGUGAAGGCCUCAUGUGAGACAUGAUAUAGGUCUAGCGUCUAGAUCUGUAUCUAGACCAAGGCUUGUCCACUCCAGAAUGCACACAAGUCCAUUAACAUGGACCAAAAAAUUUCAUAUUUUGUGAGAAGUCAUUUAGUAUGAUAACUGAGGAAAUUUUCUACUUAAUGCAUUUUCGGAAUUUUUGCAGGUGGAAGUUAGGGUAAGGGAAGGAAGGGCAGUCAACAUCCACAUGUUUUGUGCUCGCAGACCAGGUUUAUUGCUCUCCACUAUGAGGGCUCUGGACAACCUUGGGUUGGAUAUUCAGCAGGCUGUCAUCAGUUGUUUCAAUGGGUUUGCACUCGAUGUGUUUCGAGCUGAGGUUUGCUUCUUUCUCCAUCUUAAUGUUUGCCAUGAGGCAUGAUAAAAACUAAUUUUGAGAUGCUUAUCGGCAUAGUAGCUUUUUUUCUGCUCCAAUCUGGGCACUGUUAUUCUCACACACUCUAAAAUAAUGAUGAUAGUAAUGUUUUUGUUUGGGUUUCUUAAUAAUUGUUAGUAUUUGCUAUUAAGUGUGAUGGUAUGUUUCAAUAAAGAGAGUAACUUUGUAGGUGCAAUAUAGUUGUUUGUGUGUCUAUGCUGGUGUGCGUGUCUACAAGGGUGGGCUUUCGUGAAAACACUUAUAAUCUAGGGGUAUGAGAACGAAUAUUAUUUGUCCAUUUUGUACUAGGAAAGUCAGUGAGGUUCAAUUCGUUUGGCUUACUGCUAUUACAGUGUUAGGUUUUCUCUAAUACAAUUGAUCCAUCUUGUAAGACGGCCUUUCAAAAUUUGAAUGGCAUGGAUGGUUCACCAGCAAUUAUAUCCAUCUUCAGAUAUUUUCUCGUAGUACACUAAAUCAACUUAAAUAGUAUGUAAUAUGAAGUGGAUUCAUAUCAAAUUCACAUGGCUUUUAAUUAACCCACCAGGGCGUCCUCUUUCUGGUUUUAUGGUUCUUGAUUGUUAAAGGUAAGAAUGGUCAUCAGAGAUUGAUAUUUUCUUUUCAUUUCUUUAUCAGCAAUGCAGGGAAGGUCAGGAUGUCUUACCAGAGCAAAUCAAAGCAGUACUUCUUGAUUCAGCUGGCUUUCAUGGAAUGAUGUGACCCGCAGUUUGUAUACAUGCAAAUCAUAUCUACAAACUGAGGCACUAACUUUAGUUCUCUGGCUGAAGUAGUCUGUAAAUGGAGUUCACUGCUCAAUUUACAUUGAUAAAAGAGUGUGUAACAUGACACCACUGUCAUCAUACACCUGGUGAUUAUUGUAGGUUGGACAAUCAUCAUUAGCAGACAUGCUUCAAAAGCAACAGGAUAGUUAUGGUAUUGUCUUCAGUAAUUUUUGCUUUAGAAUAAAACAUCCUUUCAAGGUUUUUUCUUUUCUGGAGUAAUGCUUCCUGUUUUUAAGUUAAAUAAUAUUGUUCAGUUUUUGAUUGCUUGGAUCGACAUGGGUUG
rnacentral:misc_RNA from 1 species